UAAUAGCGUAUAUUAAAGUUGUUGCAGUUAAAAAGCUCGUAGUCGGAUGUCGGGCUCGGGCAGGCUGUCGGCUUCGGUCGGACGGCAGGCUCGGGUCUUUCUGCCUGAGGAUCCAUCUCAUUCACUUGGGGUGGGGACGCAGGCCGUUUACUUUGAAAAAAUUAGAGUGUUCAAAGCAGGCCUACGCUUGAAUACAUUAGCAUGGAAUAAUGGAAUAGGACUUUGGUGCUAUUUUGUUGGUUUAUGGGACCGAAGUAAUGAUUAACAGGGACAGUUGGGGCCGUUUAUAUUUCGUUGUCAGAGGUGAAAUUCUUGGAUUUACGAAAGAUAAACUUCUGCGAAAGCAUUCGGCAAGGAUGUUUUCAUCGA
rnacentral:rRNA from 1 species